UGACUNGAGUGCAGAAGGGGAGAGUGGAAUUCCAUGUGUAGCGGUGAAAUGCGUAGAUAUAUGGAGGAACACCAGUGGCGAAAGCGGCUCUCUGGUCUGUCACUGACGCUGAGGCUCGAAAGCGUGGGUAGCGAACAGGAUUAGAUACCCUGGUAGUNCACGCCGUAAACGAUGAGUGCUAGGUGUUAGGCCCUUUCCGGGGCUUAGUGCCGGAGCUAACGCAAUAAGCACUCCGCCUGGGGAGUACGACCGCAAGGUUGAAACUCAAAGGAAUUGACGGGGGCCCGCACAAGCGGUGGAGCAUGUGGUUUAAUUCGAAGCAACGCGAAGAACCUUACCAGGUCUUGACAUCCCGAUGCUAUUCUUAGAGAUAGGAAGUUACUUCGGUACAUCGGAGACAGGUGGUGCAUGGUUGUCGUCAGCUCGUGUCGUGAGAUGUUGGGUUAAGUCCCGCAACGAGCGCAACCCUUAUUGUUAGUUGCCAUCAUUAAGUUGGGCACUCUAGCGAGACUGCCGGUAAUAAACCGGAGGAAGGUGGGGAUGACGUCAAAUCAUCAUGCCCCUUAUGACCUGGGCUACACACGUGCUACAAUGGUCGGUACAACGAGUUGCGAGCCGGUGACGGCAAGCUAAUCUCUGAAAGCCGAUCUCAGUUCGGAUUGGAGGCUGCAACUCGCCUCCAUGAAGUCGGAAUCGCUAGUAAUCGCGGAUCAGCACGCCGCGGUGAAUACGUUCCCGGGCCUUGUACAC
rnacentral:rRNA from 1 species